AACUUAACCACACGGCCACAGGGCCGGCCCCAAAGUAGAUACUCUUGCAGUGUUUUUUUUCUUCUCUGGAUCCCAUCUCCCCUGCUUGUAAAGCAAAUCAGUACCCUUCUUGAGCGGGAGCUGUACGUCUCCCAAUGCGGGUGGUUUUAUAGUUACUGUCAGGUGGUAGUGACAUGAUUCCUUGGCCACAACUAGGCCAAUCAGAGCACUUCCCAAAGAUUUGACAUUCCUGAUGCUGAAGAAGGGAGAGUUUUGUGUGUGUGUAUUUCUCCCUUGGGACGUGAUAAAUUACAGAGAUUCAGUUCCAGAACUGUUGGAGCUGUCGUGUGGAGGGACCUGAGAGAAUGCAGCUGUUAAGCAGACACAGGCAAGAGAGGGAUGGAUGAUGGGGACACUAUUUGAGCCAUUGAAUCCACUGGGCUCUGACACAGUUUACACUGGGUUUAUGGGAUUGGGUUACAUGAGCCAAUAAAUUUCCCAUUUGGAUUUCUAUAAAUUAGAACCAAAGAAUCCUUAUUAAUACAUCUUGUGACAACUAGAAAACAACUGGAACCAAGCUUUAAAAGUUAAAUACAUAUAAAUAUAGCUAAAAGGAAACUGAAGGUGUGUAAUUGAAGUUUUUUGAAAUUUAUAUGCUCUUAGAAAAAAAUACAAUGGCAGUUCAAGUGUUGAAUUAGAUUGUAGUUACCAUUUUGGUUGGAAAGGAAACCAACACAGGUGUCUUUGCAUCUCUUUACUGACAGUUAUUUUAGAAAAACUGCUAUUUGCUUGAAGUUGUAUAAAGAUUGGUGCACAUUUAUGUAAACUGUGAUAACUUCACAAUGUAAUUUGCAUAGAUAAAAAGCAAGAUCUUAAUUUAGUAAAAAGCAAAUUUCUUCUUCCUUCUCAUCAUUACUUCAGUAAACAGGAAAUAUUUUCCUCAAAAGGAAAUAUAUCCUAAUCCUAAUUUAUAUCCUAAUUUAUAGAGCUAGUUUUAUAUAUCCUUUAAGGAGGAAGUUGUAGUUUUAUAGAUAGGUGAAGGCAUCUUUUUAAAUUGUGAUCACAAUUUGUCUAGUAUUCUAUCAGCUAUCUAGUGUUGUAUCAGGUAGCUACAUAAUUGACCAAUCCAGGGCAAUGUAGCUAACUAAUUCUUAAGCUCAUGCAAUACUACUUAAUCCCUGGAUGAUUCUAAAUGGGUAAGAAUUAGAUUAAAUGUGGAAAAAAUGAUUAAUCUCAGAAGAAAGCAUGAGAGAAUUCUUUAUGACUUGGCAUGAAAAAGGCCUUCCUAAAUAUGAUACUAACCCCAGAAGCCACAAUAAGUUCACCUAUGUUUAAAAAAUAAUGUGAACACUUCUGCUUCUGGAAAGAUGGAGCAGACAUAUUUUUCCUUAUUCCUGCCACUAAGUAAAACUAAAACCCCUGGACGUUAUAUAUAAAACAUAAGAAGACCCUGUAGGAUGGAGAGAAGGCAGACUAACUAGGGACCUUGGGAUUCAGGCAGUGACACUUGAUUUGUUCUCUGGGUUUUCUUUGUGCUUCGUAUAUCCUAGACUUGGAGCUGAGGAAGCCGGCAACAUGGAAAUAUCAACAACUACAGACAAAAAUAAGCCCCAACAAAUGCCUACCAGUCUGCUGGCCUGCCUGUGCCCUCAAAACUGCAACAUCACGUAUUUUUCCUCUCGUGUUGGAACCGUGUCCCAGUUCAGAGAGGUGAAAGCCAUUGCUGAUCUCUUCAUGGACCUUACAAAAACAGCAUCUUCUGGGUCUUCCAACACAGUUCUACAAAAAAUGGCAAUUAUGUCAGAAAAAAAAAUCGAUUAUACAAAAAUGAAUCUUUAGUUUAAAUCAAUCAAUGCCAUAUUUUUCUAUGUUAUUUGUAUAGUACAACUAACAAAUAACUUUUGGGCUCUACUGACAAUGACUUUCAAGAUAUGUAAUGCUAUUUCUAUUAUAUAGAUUGUUUAUUUUAAAAAUAGAGUAUUUGAACAUAUUUGGGAUCGGCUAUUACAGUUUAGAUCUCACACAUUCAUGCAUUCAUGUUUUAAACCAGUGUUAAAUGAGAUUAAAAUAUUUAUACAUAUACGCAUAUUAGUAACUUAUAUACAUUUGAUUGGAAAGUUAUUAUUUCUUGACAUUAUGCUGUAUUUUAUAGACAUUCUUGGGGAUAACAAUUUUUCAACACUGAAUCCAAGCAAAAAAUUCAUAAGUGCAAAAUUUAAAAAGAAAGAUGAUUUUUAAAUUCAUCAAUAUUCAUGAAUAUGAAAUGUUUUUCAUAGUUUAAUAAAGUAUUUGCUUUUGAAAAUGUAAAUUCCAGUGGAUAUAAAAUGUUAACAAUUGCUCUCAUUCAACAUAUUUAGAGGAACAGUAAACAAGGAAGGUAAAGACCCUCACUUGUAAUAGCUAAUAAUUCUUAUUUUAUCUUUUUACUCAUUGAAUCAUGGUUUAGUUUAUUUUAGGUUAUAAUAUUAAAAACCUAAAUAUGUCAAAUAUGAAUAUGUAGCUUGAACUCAUUUAUCACAGAAAAACAUAGCAUUUUUCCCCAUUGAAAAAUUUUCCCAUCUAUUGAAGUGUUAGUCAUUUUUUAAUUCAUUAAAAUGUAUUUGGGGAAAUGGGAAUAAUUUAGAGGGUCAACACAAUUAUGAAAUAAUCUGAUAAUAAAAGUAAAGUUAAAAAAAUCA